CAAGGAGUUUGCUGUCUAAGCUUCUCAUGAUGAUAAUAACUGGAAAGCUGGCAUUGUGGCGUUACAUGGCAGUCUGGACCUUUGCUGAAGCUACUUUUGUCAUCAUGGGAAUAUCAUACAAUAAGUCAUUAUCCACUCCAGAGUAUACUGAUUGGACAGCAGUCUAUAAUGUUAACUUUUGGAAUAACGAGACCAGCAUUACUCUUCAAGUUAGUGAUGCAUGUGCUGUAGUCACGUACAGUAGCAU